rnacentral:rRNA from 1 species
AUUGAACGCUGGCGGCAGGCCUAACACAUGCAAGUCGAGCGAGUGGCGGACGGGUGAGUAAUGUAUGGGGACUGCCCGAUAGAGGGGGAUAACUACUGGAAACGGUAGCUAAUACCGCAUACUAUCGGAUAACCAAUAUUGGAUUAGCUAGUAGGUGAGGUAAUGGCUCACCUAGGCGACAAUCCCUAGCUGGUCUGAGAGGAUGAUCAGCCACAUUGGGACUGAGACACGGCCCAGACUCCUACGGAGGCAGCAGUGGGGAAUAUUGCACAAUGGGCGAAAGUCUGAUGCAGCCAUGCCGCGUGUAUGAAGAAGGCCCUAGGGUUGUAAAGUACUUUCAGUCGGGAGGCGUUACCGAAAGAAGAAGCACCGGCUAACUCCGUGCCAGCAGCCGCGGUAAUUC